UUCCAGUAGUAGUGAAGAAGUCCAUAUGCUGGUAAUGAUGCUCCACUAUCCAUGUGAUUGGGAUAUAAGAUGGUUCCUGUCAUUUUCCUUUCACUCAAAGAUGAAGGUCUAAAUUGAGCCGCUUCUGAAAUAAGCAAGAAGAGAAUGUCAAGUCUUAAGUGAAAGCAAGUCCCUGAAGAGUGAUUUGAAGGAAUUGUGCUUGUCCCCAUAAAGUCAAAGAAUUCAAGAGAAGCA